ACAGAGACAGCUAUACAGGCACAGACCGACAUCUACACAGCUAUGAUAGAACACACACCAAACUCACACAGCCAGAACUGACCACACAGUUACAGACAGAACUCACACAGCCAGAACUGACCACACAGUUACAGACAGAACUCACACAGUUACAGAGAAACCUCACCCCACAGACAGACCACACCAGACUACUGCAGAGCAAGACAGAAGUCAGCAUGCAGGUGGACUACAUGAGACAGCUUAUACAGGCACAGACAGACAUCACACAGCUACUGAUAGAACACACACCACCAAACACAAACAUCACACCACUGACUAUACGACAAUAGACAAAGACAGAACUACAGGCAGAAAAACAGACUUCACUGUUGGUACCACUCUGUUCCCUGAGUAUGACGUGGAUGACUUUGGCCCAGACCUAACCAAGGUAGAGUCAGUUCCAAGCAGGGGUGAUACCCUGUUCCCUAUGCAGCUGCCCCCUCUCCCCACCACCCGCUCCCAGCCCAUCCACCCCCACCUCGACAUCAACCAGGGGGGAGACCAGGUGGGACAGGGAGAGACUCAGAUAGGCUCAGGCAGAGGGGAGAGCAGUGGUAGUGGGGAGGGGAGCAGUAGUGAUGGGGGAAGUGAGGGGGAGGACAGGGUAGUAGUGAUUCCUACACAGGGCUUCAUGGCCGGGACAGGGAUGGGAUCAGACCCUUCACGCCCAGGACAACCAGGUUACCCAGGACGUCCAGGGUCAGUCACCCCAGAGCAGGGCCAACCAGGCUGGGACAGAGUGACAGGACAGAAGCCUGCUGUGGUCUACAAGGAGGAGGAGGGCCAGAGCUCUAGAAAAACAACCCAUAGCAUAGCAGGAGCCAUGGAAUCAUACAGCGUGGACCAAUCGGUGGCGAUCCCUCAUGAGGCAUCUCCCACCAAACCACCCUUCCACCUCAUCAUUGUCAACGUGCAUGACAAGAACCAAACAGUCGACCACAUCCUGCAGAUCCUUGGCCAGCCUCUAGGGGGUAAUGGAGAUUUCCAGUCCCCUCUCAUCCCAGCCUUCCCAUUCAUCCAGACUGAGGCCAUCCAGGGCAGCGAGGACAGUAUCCAUCCCAUCACUCUCCCCCCAACACUCAGCUUCAUCAACGGGAAACACCAGGUGACUCUGGAGCCAGAGCUGCCGGAGAAGGAGCAGGAGGCGAGAGGAGACCAGUUUGAGACGGCCACACCAGUCCACAUUGAACUGGGGGAAGAGAUGGAUCAUGACGAGGAGGAGAAGAGCCUCACUCCCUUUGACUAUGGAGCUAUUCAUACUGGAGAGACCAGAGAGUCCACUACUACAGACAGAGACACAGACAUAGACACAGACAGAGACACAACUACAGACAGAGACACAACUACAGACAGAGACACAACUACAGACAGAGACACAACUACAGACACAGACAGAGACACAGACAGACACACAACUGCAGACAGCGAUACAGACAGAGACACAGACAGAGUCACAGAUAGACACACAACUUCAGUCACAGACCGAUAUACAGACAGAGAGAGGACACAGACAGGAGGAAAGACAGAAAGCUCUAAAGAAACAACCCCUUCUUCCCUACACACAUCCCCAGUCUCUUCCCUAGUCUCUCCCCCAGUCUCUACCCCAGUCUCUUCCCCAGGCUCUUCCCCAGUCUCUUCUCCAGUCUCUUCCCCAGGCUCUUCCCCAGUCUCUACCCCAGUCUCUUCCCCAGUCUCUUC
rnacentral:lncRNA from 1 species